GCGGCGAGCGGUUGACGGGUGAGUAAUGCAUCGGAACAUGUCCAUUCGUGGGGGAUAGCCCGGCGAAAGCCGGAUUAAUACCGCAUACGCCCGAGAGGGGAAAGCCGGGGACCGCAAGGCCUGGCGCGAAUGGGUUGGCCGAUGCCCGAUUAGCUAGUUGGUGAGGUAAAGGCUCACCAAGGCGAUGAUCGGUAGCUGGUCUGAGAGGAUGAUCAGCCACACUGGGACUGAGACACGGGCCAGACUCCUACGGGAGGCAGCAGUGGGGAAUUUUGGACAAUGGGGGCAACCCUGAUCCAGCCAUUCCGCGUGAGUGAAGAAGGCCUUCGGGUUGUAAAGCUCUUUUGUCCGGAACGAAACGGUUUGCGUGAAUAGCGCCGACUACUGACGGUACCGGAAGAAUAAGCACCGGCUAACUACGUGCCAGCAGCCCGCGGUAAUACGUAGGGUGCCGAGCGUUAAUCGGAAUUACUGGGCGUAAAAGCGUGCGCAGGCGGUUUUGUAAGUCUGAUGUGAAAUCCCCGGGCUCAACCUGGGAAUUGCAUUGGAGACUGCAGGUAGAAUCUGGCGAGGGGGGUAGAAUUCCACCGUGUUAGGCAG
rnacentral:rRNA from 1 species